CCUACGGGAGGCAGCAGUGGGGAAUAUUGCGCAAUGGGCGAAAGCCUGACGCAGCGACGCCGCGUGAGGGAUGAAGGUCUUCGGAUCGUAAACCUCUGUCGGCAGGGAAGAACGGUCACUGUGCUAAUCAGCAGUGAAUUGACGGUACCUGCACAGGAAGCACCGGCUAACUCCGUGCCAGCAGCCGCGGUAAUACGGAGGGUGCGAGCGUUAUUCGGACUGACUGGGUGUAAAGCGUUCGUAGUCGGUAUGUCAAGUCAAGGGUGAAAUCCCCGCGCUCAACGGGGGAACUGCAUUUGAAACUGGCAAACUUGAGUGUGUGAGAGGAGAGUGGAAUUCCAGGUGUAGGAGUGAAAUGCGUAGAUAUCUGGAGGAACAUCAGUGGCGAAGGCGACUAUCUGGCACAUAACUGACGCUGAGGAGCGAAAGCGUGGGUAGCAAACAGGAUUAGAUACCCUGGUAGUC
rnacentral:rRNA from 1 species